rnacentral:tRNA from 1 species
GCCUGGGUGGCUCAGUCGGUUGAGUGUCCGACUUCAGCUCAGGUCACGAUCUCACGGUUCGUGGGUUUGAGCCCCGCGUCGGGCU